UACGGAGGGUGCGAGCGUUGUCCGGAAUCAUUGGGCGUAAAGCGCGCGUAGGUGGCCUCAUAAGUCCGCUGUGAAAGUCAAAGGCUCAACCUUUGAAAGCCGGUGGAUACUGUGGGGCUAGAGUACGGAAGAGGCGAGUGGAAUUCCUGGUGUAGCGGUGGAAUGCGCAGAUAUCAGGAGGAACACCAAUAGCGAAGGCAGCUCGCUGGGACGUUACUGACACUGAGGCGCGAAAGCGUGGGGAGCGAACAGG
rnacentral:rRNA from 1 species